rnacentral:lncRNA from 1 species
ACUUGCAGCCUGGGGACAUCUUGCUCUUCCCCUUGGACAGACUCAAAAACUUCAUUGUCCAGACUAUCUUCAAGCAUGCCAUGUACUGUGUGGAUGGCGAGGUCAUACACUUUGUGACUUCGGAAACGUGAUGUGAUCAGCAGUUAGAUGACUUCUGGUAUGACCACCAAAGGAGGUUUGGUGAAAAUGAAAAAGGAGAGGGGAAACUACCUGAUUUACCAGAAAAAAGAUGGGGUUAAACUCAAUGACUUCGGAGGAAAGUCAUGGAGGCGAUGAACAGCGAAGCUGAGUAUUGCGCCAGCAAGAACAACUGCAUCCACUUCACCCUCUCCCUCCUGGGCUUGGAGAAGUUCUCCUCACAACUGGUGCAAAUCCGAUGUUAAUGUUGCAGCUGCUGCAGUGGGGCUGUCAUCUGAAGCCCCACAGCCCGGUGGGGCAGGGGAGCAGCCACAUGGCGUGAGGAGUGGCAGCCCCAUGUCCCUGGAGGAUGGUCCCCCCCAACCCACAGAGGAGCCUCAGCAUCGCCCCGCGCACCCCAACAACUUGCCCAGGGAAGGAGCUUUUCUUUGGGAGGGUGGGGGACGUUGCUUUCUGCUUCCUGGAGCUUAAUUGCCAUGUGCUAAUCUGAUGUUUUAUUGAACUUUGCUACCUGAAACGAGCCUGAUUUUACCUACAGCCUCAGUCCUGCCUGAUGGGCUGUGAGAGCUGCCCGGCUGCCACCAGACUCUGGGGCUUCAUAGCUGCCAAUACUAGUAAUUACCAGUG